AAAUGAAAAAUACUGCCUUGCAGUGUCCAGCAUUGAAAUCCUGACAGAUCCUUGCUCGGGAAUAUGAAUGUAUGAUUAAAAGGUCUUGAGCCUGCUUUUCAGUCUGAAAUUCCUCCAGGGACUGUCCUGGUUCUCGGGCUUUUGUACUCAAGACUGGACCUCUAUCUCUGGCUUUCCUGAGUCUCUGGCUUACUUGACUCAUCCUGCAGAUGUGGAGACUUGACAAUCAUAAUCAUAACUGUUACACACCAGGGGCUAAAAACAGCACUAGCAGCAGCAGUACAUGCAGCAGAAUGAAAGGACAGUGAGAAUCAUAGGUUCUCAGCACAGGCUGGAGUCCCCCCAGUGUGAAGCAGUAACAUCUAAGAUAGCUACUGCACCUGGCAGAGAGAAUGGUAAGAAAAGUUCCCUGGGAAUCCAGGUUGAAAAGGACAAACGUCUUCUAAUUAAUAUAAAUAAAUCAGUCAGUCAAUCAAUCUGUUCUUCACUAAGGGGACUCUCAAGCCAGACAAGUCGGAUGUGAUGCAUCGUUUUGGCAAAUGUGACCCCAGCUGUCGUGACAGUCCUUGGGCAGCUGGUGCACUUUGGAAACAUGCUGUGACACUAUCACCAGGAAUUCAGUAAGUGCAGAAGUAUUCUUGGAAAAUGUGGUUGCACACAAUUAAGUGGAAAGGAGCAGAUUCAGCCCAAGAGCAAAUCGCAAACCUGGAAAUAAUGACCAUUUAGGUUAAAACAUUGGACAUAAUGGCCAGUGUUCGAUGGGUCACAUGGUGCAGCUCAUCAGCUGUGGCAGAUCCUGGCCCAGGACCCCGCUCGCUCAGUCAGUAAAUCCCGGUGCUGCCGAGACAGAAGCAGCCUGAGCUCUGUCCACUUUAUUAUAGGGCAUCACGUAUGGCCCCACUUUGUCAUUUGGAUUUCUUAGACUUCUUUCCUGCCUAGCUUUUUUAAUAAGCAGGUAGGCAUUUGCUGAAGACUUCUGAGCACUAAAAUGAGUGCAAGAAUAUUCACAUGGUUUCAAGGUAUCACCAUACAGAUCAUUUAUCAAUCACAAAGGGGGAAACACGGGUAACAUUCGGGUAAAUAAUAGUGUUCCAAUUUCACAUUGAUUCACAAACAAUAAAACCAAUCGGCUCACUGACUUUAUAUUUGCAAAGAUUUGAUGCAGUGGAAAAAUUCCUAGUGCGUUCUAUGUAGUAUUCUUGCCAAGAGAAUAAUUGAAUUUAAACAUGAGAAAAUAAUCAGACAAAUACAGAUUGUGAAAUAUCUUACAAGACAGUUGUUCUAAACAAUCAGACAAAUCUAGAAUGUAGGAUAUCCAACAGUGCAAGUGGCUUAAACUUUUCAAAAAUAACAAUGUCCUGAAAGAAAAUAAAAGUGAAAGAAUCCUUGCAGAUUAAAGGAAAAUAAAGAGACCUGACAAUCAGGAAAAACACACAAACUUGUUUACCUGAGUGGAAGGUCAAAAAAAGCUAUAAAGAUAUUUGGGGGAUGAUUGAGUAUAUUUGAUUGUGGAAAUUAGGAAAUGUUUUUGAACAAUGCUAAAUUUAUGGAGUGUGAAAUCAAGUAAUAUGAGAAGGACCCAGCAGCAAUGCAUUCAGAAGAAAAACCACCCGGGGAGUUGGUGGUGACGCUCAUAAUGGCCACAGGCUUCUCUCAGGCAGAGAGGGCUCAGAUCAGCCUCUGCUAUUAUUAGAAUGAUUUCUCCUGCCACCAGGUGGAUGGAUUAAUGGCAUGGCAAUUUCUCCUGCAAAGAGAGAAGGACCAGAUUCAGGCUUUUUUGAGAGCUCUUUUAAGAACAAGGAUACAAAAUUAUGCAUACGAAAUUAUGAAUUCAAAAUUAGA